rnacentral:rRNA from 1 species
CCUACGGGGGGCUGCAGUGGGGAAUAUUGGACAAUGGGCGAAAGCCUGAUCCAGCCAUGCCGCGUGUGUGAAGAAGGCCUUCGGGUUGUAAAGCACUUUCAGUGGGGAAGAAAGCCUUGGGGCUAAUACCCUCGAGGAAGGACAUCACCCACAGAAGAAGCACCGGCUAACUCCGUGCCAGCAGCCGCGGUAAUACGGAGGGUGCGAGCGUUAAUCGGAAUUACUGGGCAUAAAGCGCGCGUAGGCGGUCUGAUAAGCCGGUUGUGAAAGCCCCGGGCUCAACCUGGGAACGGCAUCCGGAACUGUCAGGCUAGAGUGCAGGAGAGGAAGGUAGAAUUCCCGGUGUAGCGGUGAAAUGCGUAGAGAUCGGGAGGAAUACCAGUGGCGAAGGCGGCCUUCUGGACUGACACUGACGCUGAGGUGCGAAAGCGUGGGUAGCAAACAGGAUUAGAUACCCCUGUAGUC